GAUGAACGCUGGCGGCGUGCUUAAUACAUGCAAGUCGAGCGAACAGACGAGGAUAUUGCUCCUCUGACGGUAGCGGCGGAAGGGUGAGUAACACGUGGAUAUCCUACCUAUAAGACUGAGAUCACUACGGGAAUCCGGAACUAAUACCGAAUAAUAUAUUGAACCGCAUGGUUCAUUAGUGCAGGACGGUUUUGCUGUCACUUAUAGAUGGAUCCGCGCCGCAUUAGCUAGUUGGCAAGGUAACGGCUCACCAAGGCAACGAUGCGUACCCGACCUGUGAGGGUGAUGAGCCACACGGGAACUGAGACACGGUCCAGACUCCUACGGGAGGCAGCAGUAGGGAAUCGUCCGCAAGGGGCGAAAGCCUGACGGAGCAACGCCGCGUGAGAGAUGGAGGUCUUCGGAUCGUAAAUCUCUGUUAUUAGGGAAGAACAAAUGUGUAAGUAACUAUGCACGUCUUGACGGUACCUAAUCAGAAAGCCACGGCUAACUACGUG
rnacentral:rRNA from 1 species